AGUUUUAUGGUCGGGCUAGCACUUAGAGAAAGCAACUUUGACCCCUCCCCCUUCUUCUCUGGGGGAGGAGAAAGGAAUUUAGGGUAGCUCCAAAUUUAUUCAAUAUAAAAUGCACAAAUCCACACCAUUGUUCACUACAGUUAAGUCCUAGAGAAGUGGUGACAACAGCUGCGCAGAGGGGGUCCAAUUUAUAUAUAUAAACCUUUAUUUAACUAGGAAAGUCACAUUGAGGUUAAAACCUCUUUUACAAGUGAGACCUAGUCAAGACAGGGUCGGAUAGCAGGAUUAAACAGAUAACAAGCAACAAUAAGAAACCAAUCACAACAUCAUCAUUAGAUACAACAGAAAACACAGCAAAACAAGUAUCCACAACAUGUUGUACAACACCGAGACACAGCACAGCAACACAAACAUUUAGGUAUUACAUAAUACCCUACAUAGUACUGUUCACAUAACAGUAUUAGAUCAUAGAUUUAAUAAGGAGUUAAGUGGUAAUAGAAUUGGCAAAGCAGCUGCAUUUAAUUGUUUUUUAUUUUUGGGAUUGUAGUUUGAGUUUGGUCUGCACAUCAUUCCAAGACCAAGGGCCAUAGUAAUACAGGCUUAGCUUUCCGGCCUCUGUUCUGAUAGCAGGCACUUUGAACUGUAGUUAGUAAUGUGUCCUGAGAUUAUUACAGCUGUUUAAAUAAUUUCGAACUUUUCCUAAAAUUACCUUGUAAAUUAAAAUAUACCAAUGUUCGAGCCUGCACAAAUGAAGAGAUGACCAUCCUACCAAUCUGUACAGUAUACAAUGAUACAUAUAUACAGAAAACCCAAUGUGAAUUUUAAUUUCUUUGCAAGAUAAUCAACAUGGUAUUUAAAAUUUAGGUUUUUGUCCAUCCAGUUUCCCAGAUAUUUGUAAUUGUCUACAGACUGGAUACAGACUCCAUCCAGUGACGUGAUGGAGAGGGAUGGUAGCUUUGUUCGCCAAGUAGUAAAAACCAUAACUUUAGUUUUAUGUGGGUUUAACAGCAGCUUCAAAUCUAAUAGAGCAUGUUGCAGGGUGUCAAAAUCUGCCUGCACAUUUGAAAAGGCCAACUCAGCUGUGGGGCCACAGGAGUACAGAACUGAAUCAUCUGCAUACAGAUGAUACUUACAAAAUUUAAACUUAUCACAAAUAUUAAUAUAAACUAGGAAAAGCAAGGGUCCCAAAACUGAUCCUUGUGGAACACCUUUCAUAACAAGGACUGGGUUUGACAUAUCAUUGCCAUAUUUGGCCAUUUGUGAACGAUUGGUCAAGUAGCUAUGGAACUAUUUGACCGCAUUGCAUCCAAUGCCAGCUCUCAGCAGGGUAUUAACAAGUAAUAGAUGGUCCACAGUAUCAAACGCCUUUGUGAGGUCUAUGAACAGAGACACACAGGUAAAUUUAUUAUCUAUAGCCUCUUUGAAGUCAUCCAUGACUUUUAUUGUACUGUGCCCUGACCGGAACCCGGAUUGCAUUUCAUUUAAAAUGUAAUGCGAGUGCAAAUAUGAUUUAAGUUGGGUAGCAACUAAUGAUUCCAAUAUUUUUGAAAGAACAGGGAGAUUAGAGAUUGGUCUAAAGUUGUUCAUGUCAUAUUGCCAGCUUUGAAUAGGGGUGUAAUGUAAGCUUGCUUCCAGCUGGCUGGAACCUGGUUAGAAUUUAUUGACAUGUUAAAAAUGUUAGUAAUGGGCUCAGCUAUGACCGAUGCAGCCACCUUUAACAGAAAGGUAUCCAGACCAUAAGGUCUAGGCGCCUUUUUGGGUGUAUUGAAUUCAGUGAUGCAGAACUUGACAGAUCUUGAACUUGUAGGGCUUUAAAAUCAAAUGAGAAGGCAGAGGUUGAGGAUGUACUAGGUAGCAAGAAACAUGUUGAAGGAUCAACUGAAAUUGAUGGAAGCUGCUGAUCAAUUAAAUGACCUGCCUUCUCAAAAUGACCGUUAAAGGCAUUUAAUAUAUCACUUUUAUCUGUGAUAGUUACAUUUCUAAUAUUCAAUUGCGGGGGAAAGUCUGAAGCCUUUUUGCUCUGUAAUACUCUGAUUGUUUUCCAGAAUCUGGAUGGAUUGUUAAAAUUAUCAUUAGUUGAGGUAAGAUAAUAAUUUGAUUAAGAGGUCCGAAUGGCUGAGGUACAUUGAUUUCUCAAAGUUCUGAAACGUUGCCAAUCUACAAUACUGCUGGUCCUCCUUGCAAGGGACCACUGUUUACUUCUUGAUUGAAUAAACUGGGCUAGUUCUUGAGAAAACCAAGGAUUAUCCCUGUUCUUUAUUCUGUGCUUUUUGAAAGGAGCAUGUUUAUUUGCAAACAAUAGAAACUGUUGCUGAAAAAAAGCAACAGCUUCAACUACAGUAGGAAUCAGUGCAACACGAUCCCAAUUUAGUCUUGCCGGGUCAGAUAAAAAGGCCUGCUCUGAAAAGUGUUCAGGUCGUUUACGAACACGCCUAUUGCUGUAUACUUAUGAGCGCCGUUGGUGAGAAUGACAUCUAACAGGGUGUCACUAUUAAGCUUAGAUGGAUUGAGUCUGGUGGGGCUGUCAAUAAGUUGUAAGUUUAGAGAAUUACAAGCCAGCUUGAAAUUCUCUGAUUUGUCACUGAGCCAAUCUCAAUUUAAAUCAGCAAAUAAAAUAAUUUCUGAAUUAUUUAAAUUAGACAGCACUUCAGUCCACAAUGUUUCAUGAACAGCAGAGGGGGACCUAUAGCAACCAAUAAUAGUAAAUAGAGCAUUUGCAACCUUAAUGUCUAAGGCUAUAAGUUCAAACUGUCUUGGGAUUGACUGCGAAAGUAAAACAGACACAGGAAAUUUUUGAGAUACAUAAAUAGCUACACCACCUGCACGCCCUUUCCGAUCUGUUCUAUAAACAUUAUAACCACCAACACAAAUAACAUCAUCAGGGACGGAGGGUUUAAGCCAAGUUUCAGAGAUCACAACAAUAUCUGGAUUAGCAGACAUGAACUACGUUUUCAAUAAAUCCAGUUUGGGUAAUAAACUUCUAGCGCUGAUAUGUAGAAAACCAAUUCCAUGCCUAUUAGCAAAUUCAGUAGGCAUUAAGAGAUGAUGUAAGUUUACUUGACAUGCAUGACAGUGGCAUACACACAAGGCAAACAAAUACAGUCGGCACGAUCGUGAAUUUGACAGUCAUUGUUAAAAUCAAAAAUGUCACAUCCAGCGUCCAGAGAGAGGGGGAGAAGGAAGUGAAGCAGUCACCUGAGAGUUAUAUCCAGCGGUAGGCCUCCACCACCGCACGCAGUCAGAAUUAGGCUACACACAAUUGCACAGCAGCCUCGGAUCAGAAGACGUAGUCACUCUGGCAGAUCCUUUAAGUUCUGAGAUCGAAAUCCAGUGAUGGGCCAGCUCGAAUGUAAGGUCUAGCAGUCAGAUGAAAAAAUCAACCAACUCUUUUGCUGCUUGCACCACCAGUGACGACCAUCUGCGGCCACUGUCAAAGAACCAGCCUCGGAGUUGAUGUGCAUACAAUUGCGCAGCCGGCUGACCCAGUCAGCGCACGUUGUCACCCUGGCCGAUCCCUCAACUGGUGAAAUUACUCCGUAAAGCCCCUUAGAACCUAAAAAACAUUAAAAAGCUGCUUAAAACCCGAAAUAAAACCCGAGACAGGACUCCCAAAAACAGACACACACACAGAACUGCUAUCGCACCACCAAUUUGAGUUUUUUGUCUUAGGGCCAAAAUUCCUGGUGCCAGCAUUUUCUAGUCAUGGGCCAUGAAAAGAUGUUCUGCUUCUGACUUGGUGGAAGGAUGUUCGGGUGUUUUCUGCCCUUCUCUGCCCAAACAUUGUUGCCUUCAUGGGAUUAUCUGCUCUUGGUGGCUGGAAGUUGUUUGUGCUCCACUUGCUCUCCAAAAACGAUGCCAGGCUCUUGAGGACCUGGUUGUGUCUCCAGUUGUAUUUCCCUUGAGUGAGGCUGGUCUAACAUCCUGUCAGGAUGUGUUCAAGAGUUGCAGGAGUUCGGCAGAGGUUGGAUCCUUGCCACACCACUGAUGGAAAUUCUUUGGUGAUGGAGGCAUGUUAUGUGUCACUCUGAUGAUAAAGCAAAUCUUGUUUUCUUCCAUUUUCCAUAACUCCCUCUAUUGAUCUUUCUCCUCUCCAUGCUUUCGCAAGAGAGACUGCCUUUGUCCUUCUCAUAAUCUCUUCAUGUCGACGCACCUUCUGGACCACCAGUCUGAUGUUGCUGCCUUUCGCCAAGUUGGUAAACUUGCUUUCAGGCCAAAGCCUCAUCUUCCCUGCUGGACCUGCCCCACUAUGUCUUUAUGCUUCAGGGCUGAUGUAGCUUGCUGGAUUGCAUUGGAUGGGGUCUACUUCCACCCAGUAACUAGGGGCAGUGCGAUCAUACUGAUGGUCUUGUGUCCUUGAGUGUUCACUGUACUUACUUUAGAACACUUGUAUUCCUUGUGAGAGGAAGUUCCAGGACCCCUGUGCUGUAGAGGCUGGUGUUAUUUAGACAUUGUGGGACACCUACCCAUUUUGAAAUGAUGGUUCGAGAGUUGCUUGGCUUGAUUUUCAUUUGGGCCUACUUGAUGUUCUCCUGCAGUUUUCCAAGUAGCCACUUGGUGCAUGCUGCAAUAGUGGUCAGAGAUGUCAUAUAAUUCAUGUAUGCUCUGAUAGGUGGAAGAUGGUUCCCGGCCCUGGUUUGUUCUCCGUGCACCACCCAUUUUGAGGCCCUCAUAAUGACUUCCAUGGCCAUUGUGAAAAUCAGGAGUGAGACUGUUCAGCCUGCCAUCAUGCCUACUUCCAAGCGCUGCCAUGUUGUGGUGAAGUCGACUUCUAUAAAGCACAGCUGUAGGUCUUGGAAACACGUCUUGAGCAGUGUUGUGAUUAGAUCUGAUAUGUGGCAGAUGUUGAAUGAUUCUCAGAGAAGAUCAUGGGGAAUUGAUCCAAAUGCAUUGAUCAGGCCGAGGAAAACCACAUUUAGGUCUCUCUUGCCCUUCUUGGUUGCUUUUAUCAUGCUUGUAUGCUCCAAGACACCAGAGAAUCCUGGAAUUCCUGUUUUCUUCACAGAUGUAUCAAUGUACUUGUUCCUUUUCAGGUAGGCAGCCAGACAUAUUUGCUGGAACUGUUUUUCAUCUGCCUCCUCUCUCUGAAUGGUGGUUGUAGUAUAUUUCCACUUCUCCCUUUAGUCACUCCAAAGUGCUCCAAACUCUAUAGUUGUAAAUUAUUCUGCCUAUCUUUUCCAGCUUUUUCACUACUGUGCCCACUUGUUUUAUGUUAGGUCACUGUUGAUUAUUUGCCACUCUUUUUGUCGACACCUUGGGCCACUUCACACCAGUUGUGGGAUCAUCCUGGUUUGACCACAUCAGGGAGUGGCAUUCAAAGAGAGACCAGUACAACAUCCUCUUCCUGACCUACGAGGACAUGGUUUUGGACCUGAAGGCAGCAGUAACUAAGAUCUGCAUUUUCUUAGGGAAGAA